AACGUAGGGGGCCAGCGUUGCUCGGAAUUACUGGGCGUAAAGGGUCUGUAGGCGGUGCGGCAAGUCGGAAGUGAAAUCGCAGGGCUUAACUCUGCGGCUGCUUCCGAAACUGCCGUGCUCGAGUGUGAGAUAGGCGAGUGGAAUUGCAGGUGUAGCGGUGAAAUGCGUAGAUAUCUGCAGGAACAUCCGAGGCGAAAGCGGCUCGCUGGAUCACAACUGACGCUGAGAGACGAAAGCUAGGGGAGCAAAAAGG
rnacentral:rRNA from 1 species